rnacentral:rRNA from 1 species
AUGAAGCGGCGUGAUGAUCUUAUGAACCAGAAUCAAUCAAUUGCAGCUAAUUUUUAUGAGUGGUAUGUUGCACGUUGUCCAGAUGUGGCUGCUGUUGCUUUGAAGAAUGCUCCUCAGAAUUUAAAGUUGGUUUCUUCUACAAUCCAGAAAGAUAUUGUGGAAGCUUGUGCUAUAGAAACAGUAAAGGCAAUCAUAGAUGAUCUUGGAGAUGAAUACUUUGCUAUACUAGUUGAUGAAUCUCGUUAUGAAAAGCAAGCAAAAAGAGUUCAUAAUGCACUACAAAAUGGUGAACUUGAAACUAGGAGAGGUUUGAAUCAAGAACUUGGACUUAAAAGAGCCGGUGAUACUCGUUGGGGUUCUCAUUUCAAUUCUCUACUGAAUAUGAUUGUUAUGUUCCCCUCCGUAAUUGAAGUUGUUGAUGAUAAUGCACAAAAUGCCAGCAAAGCUCUAGAUAGGCUUAAAGCAAAAGGAGUUCUUGAUGCUAUUCAAACAUUUGACUUUGUUUUCAUGAUGCACUUGAUGAAGCAAGAUAUUGUGAAUGCUGUGUCAUAUCUUUGUACAACAAAAAGAAGGCUACAAGAAAUGAGAAACCAAGGUUGGGAAGGUAUGUUUACAAAGAUUACUCAUUUUUGCCUCGAACAUGAUAUUGAACUUCCAGAUAUGAAUGAUAUGCAUAUUCCUCGAGGAUCAAAAUCAAAGCAUAAAGCUCAGAUUGAUGGCAUAUCGAAUAAGGAUUACUACCAAAGUGUAAUGUAUGCUGUUAUCGAUCUAUUACGUGUAGAGCUUGAUGACCGCUUUAGUGAGAGCAGCACAACAUUGCUUCUUGGCAUGGCUUGUUUGGAUCCUUCUGAUUCGUUCUCU